CUUAAUGCAAUAUCCUGAGCAGGCAGCCCUCCACGCACACGCGCACACACACACACACACACACACACACACACACACACACACACACACACACACACACACACACACACACACACACACACACACACACACACACACACACACACACACACACACACUAGAUACGAGGGGGUUUGACUUCGGCGGUAACCUGAUCCCACGUUGGGCCCUUUAAAGGAGUAAUGGGAUGAGUCUCUUGAAUGGAGCCGAGCAGUGAAGCGGCAGCCGCGCUACGUCCCACUGAACUCUCAGAGGCUGCGGAGGGCGACGCGAGGAAAGUUGAACGAAUGUGCGACCGUUUUCGUGGAGGGUUCACUGGAAGUGUGGAGGACGGGGAGAAGGGAUAAUGAACGACCGCGGACGGUAUACGACGUGAGCUCCAGAAAGCCGCCUGAGAGGAAGACUACACCAGAGUAACUAGAACGGUUGACAUCGGCGCCUCCGCUUGUCCCUCCCGCUGUGAAGCAAACGGAGAAGGCGUUCCCCCGGCGCCUUGUUCCCCACACUGCCACCGACCGUAGACCAGCCUGCACCACAGCACAGCCCUCGUACCCGGGCGGAACCAGAACGCCAGGGUACAGGGCCAGGGUACAGGGCCGGGGUCCGGGGCCCAUCCCGGGUUCCAGGGCCGGGGCCGGGGUCCAGGGCCCAGGGCCGGGGUCCAGGGCCCAGCCAGGGGUCCUGGAUUGGAGCAGAUAUUCUCUGGUUCAACCCUGCAGUGAACCAGAGAAUAUCGUUCCCCCCCUCCUCCCGACCUCGUCCCACUCAGUCCGUCUUCAGUUCUCCUAAACAAGAGCGAGCCGGCCCUCUGACUCACGUCUUCUCGGGAUUCAAACCUGCGGUCCGGGUUGUCAGAGGAGGGGUUGGAUG
ensembl:lncRNA